UUUACAGUAAAGAGGGUUGGGUCGUGCCUUUCCAGAAAAUUCAGCCCCUGGGCCAUACACCUGAGGCUUGGCGGCAUCUGGAGGCCGGCCACCUACAGUAAACCCAGUGAGCCGCUGUCACCCGAUCACUGCAGAUAAGUUUCCCACAAGUCUGUGCAUGCGGGGGCGUACACGGGGGCGGCCGCCUUAUUCAAGUCAGUGCUUCUCAAAUUCCAGAGAAAGAUGAGCAGCAUGCAGACACUCUUGGCUCAAAAUUCUGCAAGGUUACAGAAAACUUCGGAAAGUGCUGCGCCGGGCACAAGGUUCCUCCCGGUCAGGGGUAUGUGCUUUUCUCAUGAUUAGUUGGGUUAAACUGUAAAGUGCUCAUCAGUGCAUUGAGAGAUUAAUGGAAGAAAAGAUCUGCCAGAUCAUAGCCAAUAUUUCACAUUUGAUAUCUUCUAGAUGUCGUGGGAUGUUGUGGUUUUUCUCUGUAUAUCCUAGACAUCAGACCAGAGCCUGUGGUUAAGUAUAGCUGCAGAAUCCAGGCACUAUUUUCAUGGGCGUGUUGUGUUAUUUCUCAAAACAUUCAGUAUGAUGGCUCUCUAUAGAUAGUAACUGAUAUUUCUUUUCCCAGACCUGGGACUGGGACUUGGGCAUAACUGAUAAUAAAAUUCUCACAUUUUAUGGAGCCCAAAAUAUUAUCUCCUGAUGUGUUUCUUCAUGGCCAACAAAUAAACAGACACCAAUGGUUAAACUAUAACAUUUUCUCACACUUAAAUCAGACAUCAAGUCUGUUAUAAAUAACCUUAUAACUUAACCUUAAAGCAACUAAAUAACUCUUGCACUGUUAAACUCUCAAAUGAGAGCAAAGAUUAUCUAUUCUACCUAACAAAAACACCUUACAAAUCAACUGCAUUCACAUGGGGGAAAAGAAAUUGCUUUCGGUCCUAAAAUUUUAGUGUUCUGUAUUAUAGCACCUCCAAUGUCAACGACUCUUUGGCUAAACAUACUAAUAAUCCCAAGGUAGAAGUGAUAAAUUAUUAUAAAGAAACAUUGUUGGUGCUUUGUUGGUUGUUAAUUCUCCAAUGCUGAUACAUUCAUAGAAUCUUAAUAUGGGCUGAUUUUAUUAGCCAACCAAUGUAUCAAUGAAACUCUACCAUGUAUCCAGUCACAAGGCAAUAACAAAGGACAUAUCCCCUGAUACAACACCCAACAUUAACCAUUCAUUUUCAGUGAUUCCGGCCUGGAUAAACAGUUAAAAGAUGGAUGGAUCGAUUUUCAUUAAUAAUUGUUUUUCUUAGGUUGGAUUUUAAGUGUUUUCCAGUUAACACGUAGUGUAACACCCCAGACAGGUCACCACGGGCCUUACCAAGCGUGACACACACUUAGCAGUAAGUCACCUGAUGCAGUGAUCUAAACAUAUUCAGACUUGAGUCUGAAUGCAAGCUCAUAACCAAGGAGGUGUGACUCAACAUCGCUGUCGGCUGGGCCACAGUGCCUCUCACACAUUAUUAACAGAUGUACCUGUUUCUAAUUAUGCUAUUUAAGACGUCUUAGACCUUAAUUUGACUUCAUGAACUUCUAUCAACCCAUCGUUAUUGCACAUAAUUUCUAGCUGUUCAUAUGCUAUAAUUUUAUUGCCUAUUUGUAGUUAUUAUUAUGUUGUUUUUGUUGUAAUUUUCUUCAUAUUUUACUGUUAUUUUGUUCUUAUUUAUUUUUAUCUUUUUAGAGUAUGUAGUUUUUUUCUUUGCAUUGCCUCAAGCACGAUACAGGAACUAGGGGGAUAACCAUUUCACUGUGCAGUAGUAUAGGGUAUGAUUUUGCAUAUGACAAAUAAAAUUUGAAACUUGUAACUACCCUAGGAUACACCAAAGAUGUUUGUUUUUACUGUGUUUAGCUGUAUUUGAGAGCCAAAACUUUGUAUUUGAACAUCGAAUUCUUUUAAUACUACAAAUACAAUUUUCCUUAUGUAUGAGUCCAACUGGUGUGUAACCGGUUUGUUUAUGACGUAUUAUGUACUUCUUUGAUUACAUGACUGUCAAACAUCCAUGAAACAGGGAGGAAUAAAUAGAAAACUUGAAUGGA